UUUCGAAUCAUUCACAAUGGGCGAAAGCCUGAUGGUGCGACGCCGCGUGAGGGACGAAGGCCUUCGGGUCGUAAACCUCUGUCACCGGGGAAGAAACACUGCAUAUUAAUCGUAUGCAGUCUGACUUAACCCGGAGAGGAAGCAGUGGCUAACUCUGUGCCAGCAGCCGCGGUAAUACAGAGACUGCAAGCGUUAUUCGGAUUCACUGGGCGUAAAGGGUGCGCAGGCGGUCGUGUGUGUCAGAUGUGAAAUCCCGGAGCUUAACUCCGGAACUGCGUCUGAAACUACACGACUAGAGCAUUGGAGAGGGAAGUGGAAUUCAUGGUGUAGCAGUGAAAUGCGUAGAUAUCAUGAGGAACACCAGAGGCGAAGGCGACUUCCUGGACAAUUGCUGACGCUCAGGCACGAAAGCAUGGGGAGCAAAAGGG
rnacentral:rRNA from 1 species